rnacentral:rRNA from 1 species
GAUGAACGCUGGCGGCGUGCCUAAUACAUGCAAGUCGAGCGGAAGGACCAUGAGCUUGCGGCUCGGAUGUUAGCGGCGGGCGGGAGAGUAACGCGUGGAUAACCCACCUAUAAGAGGGGUAUAACUACGGAAAACGGGAGCUAAUACCGGAGAAUAUUUUGAACCGCAGGGGGGGAAAGAGAGAGUCGGUGGUGGUGGAAGUAAUAGAUGGAUACGCGCUGCAUGAGCUGGUUGGUAAGGUAACGGCUUACGAAGGCAACGAUGCAUGGCCGAACUGAGGGGGUGAUCGGCGGCACUGGAGGUGGACCGCGGUCCAGGCUCCUGCGGGAGGCAGCAGUCGGCUAUCUGCCGCAAUAGUCGGAAGCCUGGCGGAGCGACGCCGCGUGAGUUAUGACGGUCUUCGGAUCGUAAAACUCUGUUAUGAGGGAAGAACAUAUGUGUAAGUAACUGUGCACAUCUUGACGGUAACUGGUCAGAAAGCCACGGCUAACUACGUG